UGUCGAGUGGAGAGCGGCGGACGGGUGAGUAACGCGUGAGUAACCUGCCUACCAGAGGGGGAUAACACAUAGAAAUGUGUGCUAAUACCGCAUGAAACCAUAGUAUCGCAUGGUUUUGCUAUCAAAGAUUUUAUCGCUGAUAGAUGGGCUUGCGUCUGAUUAGAUAGUUGGUGAGGUAACGGCCCACCAAGUCGACGAUCAGUAGCCGGACUGAGAGGUUGAACGGCCACAUUGGGACUGAGAUACGGCCCAGACUCC
rnacentral:rRNA from 1 species